rnacentral:rRNA from 1 species
UGGGGAAUAUUGCGCAAUGGGCGAAAGCCUGACGCAGCAACGCCGCGUGAGUGAUGAAGGCCUUCGGGUCGUAAAGCUCUGUCGGAGGGAACGAAUGCUCCUGAAGUUAACAGCCUCAGGAGGUGACGGUACCCUCAAAGGAAGCACCGGCUAACUCCGUGCCAGCAGCCGCGGUAAUACGGAGGGUGCAAGCGUUGUUCGGAUUUACUGGGCUUAAAGGGUGUGUAGGCGGGUCGACAAGUGUCUGGUGAAAGCCCCGGGCUCAACCCGGGAACGGCUGGGCAUACUGACGAUCUUGAGGCAGGUAGAGGUCACUGGAACAACUGGUGGAGCGGUGAAAUGCGUAGAUAUCAGUUGGAACGCCGGAGGCGAAAGCGGGUGACUGGGCCUGUCCUGACGCUGAAACACGAAAGCGUGGGGAGCAAACGGGAUUAGAUACCCAUGUAGUCCCUGAGCGGGCUGGCAAGGCGCAU